ACACCUUAAGGGAGGAAAUACAAAUAAGGACCUCUACUGAAUAUGCAUUGGACAUGGUAACAUCAGCAUAACCUACUAUAAAAGUAACAUCCCAGGGGUAGCAAAGGGAGAGAUGUAGACCUGGUUGCUGCCAGCUCCACCUGGCAGAAGGAUUACAUUCAGAAUUGACAAUGGUGACAGUAGUAUACCAUGUAGAAGUGAAUCAUUCUCGUCUAAAUGGCUGCCUGUGUGCAGCAGUUGACAUGGGGCUAUAUAUUCCAUCCAGCUGAGUACAACAAUAAUGCACAUACUCAAAGGACUCGGCUCUAGGGAAGGCUGUAUGGCAUGCCACUAACUACAGCUUUCAGAAAGCACACAAGUACAAGGAGGAACAAACAACUUUUAUGCAAUCUGCAUGACACAGAGAUGAUGCAAGACCAGAAGGAGAGAAGGUACAUAUCACAUGACCUAACUACAUUUUUUCAUCUAAAUGUGGCCACUAUCUGUACUAGACCUUAAAGUUUGCUGGCUCCAAUGACAUUUAUGAUACAGCUUUGAGAGAAGCCACUGAGUCCAAAAGAGAACUGUACUAUUAAAUUACAUAUUUGACCACUCUUAAA